GAUUACCUACCGCGUAAAUCCGUGGCCUAUCGAUCCUUUUAAUCUUGAUUGUUUCAGUUAAGAGGUGUCAGAAAAGUUUGCCCCGGGAUAACUGGCUUGCACAGCCUAGCGUCCAUAUCGACGUUGCUUAUUGAACCUUCCAUUUCGGCUCUGUUUUUUAGUAAAAAGCAGACAUUUUCAAGCGUUGGAUAAUUCACUCAAUAUUAGGGAACGUGAGCUUUGAACAGAUAAUCGUGACACAGGUUAGUUUUACCAUUCUGUAUUCUUAAUUUUGCGCAUUUAAUCCACAUUAAUACGUUACGAUCAGCGUGUUCACACAUUAAUUUGAAAGAGGAAAUAGACAGAUCAAUGAUAUUAGGUUACCAGAAUAGGCUUCAUAACACAACACUUCUCACUUCGAAUCUCCCCCUGACACAGUAAAAAUUUCUUGUUUCCCGGU
rnacentral:ncRNA from 1 species